AUUGAACGCUGGCGGCAGGCCUAACACAUGCAAGUCGAACGAGUGGCGGACGGGUGAGUAAUGUCUGGGAAACUGCCUGAUGGAGGGGGAUAACUACUGGAAACGGUAGCUAAUACCGCAUACCAUCGGAUGUGCCCCGAUGGGAUUAGAUAGUAGGUGGGGUAAAGGCUCACCUAGGCGACGAUCGCUAGCUGGUCUGCUAGGAUGACCAGCCACACUGGAACUGAGACACGGUCCAGACUCCUACGGGAGGCAGCAGUGGGGAAUAUUGCACAAUGGGCGCAAGCCGGAUGCAGCCAUGCCGCGUGUAUGAAGAAGGCCUUCGGGUUGUAAAGUACUUUCAGCGGUGAGGUGUUGCCCGCAGAAGAAGCACCGGCUAACUCCGGGCCAGCAGCCGCGGUAAUUC
rnacentral:rRNA from 1 species